rnacentral:rRNA from 1 species
GAUGAACGCUGGCGGCGUGCCUAAUACAUGCAAGUCGAGCGAACAGACGAGGAGCUUGCUCCUCUGACGUUAGCGGCGGACGGGUGAGUAACACGUGGAUAACCUACCUAUAAGACUGGGAUAACUUCGGGAAACCGGAGCUAAUACCGGAUAAUAUAUUGAACCGCAUGGUUCAAUAGUGAAAGACGGUUUUGCUGUCACUUAUAGAUGGAUCCGCGCCGCAUUAGCUAGUUGGUAAGGUAACGGCUUACCAAGGCAACGAUGCGUAGCCGACCUGAGAGGGUGAUCGGGCACACUGGAACUGAGACACGGUCCAGACUCCUACGGGAGGCAGCAGUAGGGAAUCUUCCGCAAUGGGCGAAAGCUUGACGGAGCAACGUCGCGUGAGUGAUGAAGGUCUUCGGAUCGUAAAACUCUGUUAUUAGGGAAGAACAAAUGUGUAAGUAACUAUGCACGUCUUGACGGUACCUAAUCAGAAAGCCACGGCUAACUACGUG